UAAUAUACUUGCUAUAACAUAAUAUAUACUUGCUAUCACUUACUUAUUAUAGACUUGUCAGGUUAGUACACACGCGUGCAUAAAGACGCUAAGAGAAAUACAUAUAGAGAAUAAGAGAGAAAAGGAGAGAGAGAAAGAGGUAUA